UUUUUUUUUCGCACAGCGUCGUUUGGAAAGUGCACUUCCUUGUUCUGACCUUGCCUUUUAUGGGCUGGAGCGAUAUGAUUCGUAAAUAUGCCACGGCGAAGUUGUCGAAGAUGCGAGAGUGCUACGCUGUUAGAACAAUUCAUCGGUGCAUUCAAGUGUUACCUAUUAUAAGCUGCCAAAAGACCAAGCAGUGCGAAGCUCUUGGCUGACAGUGGUGCCUGCUAAUCUCCACUGCAAGGAUUUCGUCCACGAAUGUUAUCAUAGGUUACGCGCGACUCCAGAGGCAAUUUGGAAUCUCGGCACGAAAUCGUCUGAUGAAAAUCUGAGGUGCCCGACGCAUAACAUUUUGAACGUGCCACGGAGGAUCAAGACAAAAAACGAGAGCAAAAAAUGGUGCACGCUGAAGGCGGAAAUGAAGCAUGAUCUGGCUUGCAUCUGGUCAUGAAGAAAUUGCUGACACGUAGUUGCAGUCCACCUCCACCAACAGGGUGGAAAACAAAGAUCGCCAUUCCGAUUAGCUGCUAUCUCCCAGUUCAAGCACUUUUGUGUCUGGACACUGGUUCCUGUGGAUGGGAUGUUACAAGCUUUACUGUCUGAUAUAGAAGGUACGUUACAUUAGUUCAGUUAAUUUGUCUUUUGCACAUUUUUGUUACUGUUAGCUGGAUUACUGUUGGACAUACAAUCCUUUGACACACCGAAGCUGAUGUCGCCUCUGAU